UACGGAGGGUGCAAACGUUGCUCGGAAUCAUUGGGCGUAAAGCGCACGUAGGCGGUCUGUUAUGUCGGAUGUGAAAGCCUCGGGCUUAACCCGAGAAGGGCAUCCGAAACUGGCGGGCUUGAGUACGGAAGAGGGUCUCGGAAUUCCCGGUGUAGAGGUGAAAUUCGUAGAUAUCGGGAGGAACACCGGUGGCGAAGGCGGCGACCUGGGUCGAUACUGACGCUGAGGUGCGAAAGCGUGGGGAGCAAACAGG
rnacentral:rRNA from 1 species